AUGGCCUCACCGUGCAGGGAGCAGAGGCGUGAGAGGCUCGGGCGGGUAAAGGGCCAAAGCAAGGCGGAGGAGACAGCGAGAGAGCUGCCUCAUUCAAGCAUCUGGUUUGAAGACAUUUGCAUGAGGGGAAAUUUUCAAGUUGUAUUCAUGCCUAAAUCACCGUGUGUCACCAAGGACUACGACGCAGCGCUGAUGCACGCAGCUCUUGCUGAUGUCAUGAGCCUGUCUGGAGCGGCAUUGAGUGGAAACGCCCGGCGUCCACACGGAGCAAGAGCUACAGCCGCCACAGUGACUAUGCCACGGCCGAGACCAUGUGUCCCGGGAGUCUCGAGGGAGAGCUUCCACUCGCGAGCUCAGAAGUUUCUCGGAAGAGGUGGCCUCGGAGAGAGGUUUGGAAGAAACGGAAGAGCAUCCCCUCUCGGCCCAGGAGGAGGAAGGCCCUCCAGGCAGAGGACUGGCCGGAGUGGAGCGGCAGGCGGAGGCUCGGGUGAGCGGGGAGAAGGUGGGAAGGAGCCUGCCUAGGACGGGGCAGGUGGGGCUUGAAGAUGAGGAGGGUAGGGAGCAGGAGGAUGGCCAGUGGUUGUCGUGGCAACGAGGCAAAAGGAAGUUGGAUUAAAACCCUAAACCAGGCAGUUGGACUGAGGAGGAGAGAAGACAGGUUUCUCUUCUUUCUUUCUUUCUUUUUUUUUUUUUGGUCUUUUUGAGACAGGGUCUUGCUAUGCAGUUCAGGCUGGCCUUGAGCUCACUUUGUAGCCCAGGCUGACCUCGAACUCUCAACAAUCCUCCUGCCUCAGCCUCCCGAGUGCUGGGAUUACAGGUGUGCACCACCACGCCUGGUUUACACCACCACGCCCGGCUAAGAGGACAGGUUUGAGAGUGGUUUGGCAGCGAGGACAGGAGGGCUUGGUGACAGACUGUUCGUGACAGAGACAGGAGGAACUAACAGAAGUCCCAGAGCAGCGGCCGGAGCUCCGGGAUCUUCGAUGAAAUCCUCCGAACUACUAUUCACCGUGCGAUUCAUGGUGCGCUGCGGGAAGCGCUUUGGCCUCCACGAAGGGGAUCCCUGGGCCAGAGCUCAGCGCCCCGGCCCUCCUGCCCAUUCUGUGCUUCUCAAGAAGCUGGGAGAUCCGGCUCCAGGCAAAAAAAAAAAAAAAUACACAUGUAACCAAAACAGUCCUAGGGUCCUGAGGACAGAAAUCUGAAAGCCAGAAGAUACAAUGAAACACACUUGGAAUGCAGGCUGGAGCCGCUGUCUGGGCCGCAGCGUCUUCGCCUGGCUUUCGCUAGGCAGAGAGGUGGGCUUUCCGGGAAGCAAAGCUGAGGCUCACUCACAGAGAAACCCCGGCUUGAAAGCGUGGGUGUGUAUCACCAAACUUAGGUCCUGGCCUCUUAGUGGACACAAAUAGUGAAGGAAGUACUGUUAUUAUAAAUACAUACUACCCUCCCGGGUUAGGAGGUGUUUGAGGUGUAAAAAGUUUUUGUGAAUAACUUUGGGUUUUCCUACUGCUUUUGCUUUUUUUUUAUUUUGAGACAGGGUCUUGCCAUUAGUUCAGGCUGGCCUUGAAUUUUCAGCAGUCCUGCCUCAGCCUCAUCAGUGCUAGGAUUACAUGUGUGCACCUGGAAAGUUCCGGUGAUGGGCCGGGACCUGUACUUCGAGAAACACUGAUUUGAUUGGAAAGGGAAUUAGAAAAAAAGAGAAGGUAGCACUUAGAGAGCACGAAGGUAGAAGCCAGGCGUGGUGGUGCACACCCAUCAUCCCAGCACGGGGGAGGCUGAGACCAGAGGCUCCCAGUGAGUUGGAGGCCAGCCUGCUCUGCACAAUGAGUUCAAGGCCAGCCUGAACUACAUAAUGAGACUCUGUCUGCAGAAACAGCAAAAGAAAACAACAGCAAAAGGCAAAGUUCAGUAGUAAAAGAGGGUCUAUGUCCACCCCCACCACCACCAAAAAGAAAACCUGACCUGCAUGGCUGGUCCUUUAGGAAGCUGUACACAGCGGGAAACCCGGUGGCUGGUGAGCCCUUUUGAUUCUAUCGGAUGACUCUGAGGCUGUCCUCUUCCAGUGACCCCAUAAUUACGUGUACAUUAGCCCCAAGGACGGAAAGUAAUUUUCUCCAGCUUACCUUUUCCAGCAUUUCCAGAUUUUAUGCUUGAACCUGAAUGAAGCCAAACUAUGAAUCAUUUCAUUGGCAUAUACCAGACUAAUAUGUUGAGCUCCAGAACUAAAUCAAAUCUCAAGUAUCUUUCUCCUGAAGUAUGAACCAAACAAAAGAGAUCUGUUUGUCUCUUGAAUAAAAAAUAGUGAACAGUUCAAGUUAGAAAGAAAACUUCUGGGGGGCUGGGAAUUUUGCUCAGCGGCAAAGCGCCUGCCUGGUAAGCACAAGGUCAUGAGUUCGAUUCCUGGUACCGGAAGAAAAACAAACAAACAAAAAGAAAGAAAACUUCUGGUUUCCAAGCCAGGCGUGGUGGCACAUGCCUGUAAUCCCAGCACUCAGGAAGCUGAGGCAAGAGGAUCCCUGUGAGUUCAAGGCCUGCCUGAACCGCAUAAUGAGGCCCUGUCUCAAAAACAGCAAAACAAAACAAAACAAAACAAAAAGCCAGGGAAGCAAAAGGAGAGGGAGAAGUAGCCUCGCGCUGCCCCUGCCCCUGACCGUGGGCGAGGAGGCCCUGGUGUGGCCGGGUCGCAGAAAGGAUGUGCAGCGCGCGGCCUCCUGGCAGAGAAGGGUGGCGCCAGGCAAAGGGAGGCGACCAGCUGCCGCUUUCCUAACGGAGCGGCAGGCGCCCUGUGCCGCCGGGGUGAGGGCAGGCGGCACAGUCUGCCCACAGCUCCUGGGGCGCGGAAAGCGGCGUGCCCUCCCCGCGGGCUGUGUUCCUCUCCCUGACCAACCGUGCAGCACAGACGAGGGGCCACAGCGCAAGGCUUGCGGGGCCCACACCCCAGCCCAGGUCUGUGUUGUAUUUCAUAAAAUUCUAAAAAUCUAGGAGCGGAAGUCACACAAGCAUGCAUCAGGCUCGGCGCACGUUCUUCAUCUUUCCUUUCUGGACCUCACAAAGAAAUCUGCGGCCACACCGGUAACUUCCUGAGCACGUCUGGAAAUACGGUGGGGGGCUGUGCCCGCAGAGCGGUUCCCCGAGCCGGCAGCCCGUCUGAAUGUGGUGGUGGCGACAGCCGCGGCAGCGGCGUUGAGAGUCCUGGAGGACCGCCUGCUCCCGGAGUGCUGGGCUGUUCUCAGUCAGGCAGUCGCUAAUCCAUAGCACCUGCUUUUAAUUUCCUCUUUUUGUGGCCUUUUUGGGGGCAGUGCUGCAGGUUGAAUCCAGGAUUUCAAGAAUACCAAGUGAGGGCUCUAACGCUGAUUUUUUUUUUAAUUUGGUACCGGGACCUAAACUCAGGACCUUACACUUGCCAGGAAGGUGCUGUGCCACUGAGCUAUAGCCCCGGCCCUUUAUUUUCUAGUUUAGAAAUAAUUCACUAGGAUUGGCCCUUGUCUGACUGUCUCAUGUUUUAUAAAAUCAUUUAAAAUGUGACGUAUACAUUAUCUCCCAACAAACUCCUGGAUAACAAUCUUUUUCCCUACAAUUGUUGGCGAAUUUAUUUGUCUCAUUAUACAGCCAUGAUAUAAAAUUAGCCUUCAGGCCAGAGGCACCACCUGGCUAUGCACUCAGAAUUUGGUUACAUGGAAUAAAAC
ensembl:lincRNA